rnacentral:lncRNA from 1 species
CCUGAAUGACUUAAACUGAUAAAACUUCACAUGGACCAACAUUCCCAAACAUUUCCCUUUAAAAUACACUUCCGAAAAUCACACGCACCAUCUAUUUCUUAGAUCUGUAAAGCUCACUCAUUUCACCAACUCCUGAGGACCUCUCUAACACAGACUUUGAUGACUCUUCCAAAUUCACCAAAUUUCUUUCCGGUCCUAACUUCAGGGUUGAUUCCCUUUUCUCUUCUACAGGAAUACCCCCACCCCAACAAUGAAAGGAGAUGAAAUAAACCAGGAGUUGCAAAGACCAGCGGAGAUAAUUACAUAGCAGCCUGGAAAAGAGAAAAAAAAAAAUAAAGAACAAAAAGAGGCGUCUACGGCACCAGACGGUGUGCUCCUUUGUGCACCUAUGUUCAGGAGAACUCCCCGAAGAUCACUUCGUCUCCCUUCACCACAAUCUCCUUCUUCUGGAUGUUGUACUGUCGCAGGACGCUAAGCACGUCCGCCAUCUUCCACCCCCUCGCCUCCGCCGGCUCGGGGCGCCGCCGCUGCCGCCGCGCCUGCCUCCUUCUUCUCUUGUCGCCUCGCCCUCUUCCUCCUCCUCCUUCGCCGCCGCGACGAACCAACAGCAGCAGCACUAACAGCCGUCCUCGCCU